rnacentral:rRNA from 1 species
CCUGGGCAGUCAGAGGCGAUGAAGGACGUACUAACUUGCGAUAAGCGCAGAUAAGGCAGUAAGAGCCGUUUGAGUCUGCGAUUUCCGAAUGGGGAAACCCAACUGCAUAAGCAGUUACUGUUAACUGAAUACAUAGGUUAACAGAGCAAACCGGGGGAACUGAAACAUCUAAGUACCCCGAGGAGAAGAAAUCAACCGAGAUUCCGGUAGUAGCGGCGAGCGAACCUGGAUUAGCCCUUAAGCACUCGGUGAAGUAGGUGAACAAGCUGGAAAGCUUGGCGAUACAGGGUGAUAGCCCCGUAACCGACGCUUCAUCGAGCGUGAAAUCGAGUAGGGCGGGACACGUGAUAUCCUGUCUGAAUAUGGGGGGACCAUCCUCCAAGGCUAAAUACUCCUGACUGACCGAUAGUGAACCAGUACCGUGAGGGAAAGGCGAAAAGAACCCCUGUGAGGGGAGUGAAAUAGAACCUGAAACCGUGUACGUACAAGCAGUAGGAGCACCUUCGUGGUGUGACUGCGUACCUUUUGUAUAAUGGGUCAGCGACUUAUAUUCAGUGGCAAGGUUAACCGUAUAGGGGAGCCGUAGCGAAAGCGAGUCUUAACUGGGCGCUCAGUCUCUGGAUAUAGACCCGAAACCGGGUGAUCUAGCCAUGGGCAGGUUGAAGGUUGAGUAACAUCAACUGGAGGACCGAACCGACUAAUGUUGAAAAAUUAGCGGAUGACUUGUGGCUAGGGGUGAAAGGCCAAUCAAACUCGGAGAUAGCUGGUUCUCCCCGAAAGCUAUUUAGGUAGCGCCUCGGACGAAUACUACUGGGGGUAGAGCACUGUUAAGGCUAGGGGGUCAUCCCGACUUACCAACCCUUUGCAAACUCCGAAUACCAGUAAGUACUAUCCGGGAGACACACGGCGGGUGCUAACGUCCGUCGUGGAGAGGGAAACAACCCAGACCGCCAGCUAAGGUCCCAAAGUAUUGCUAAGUGGGAAACGAUGUGGGAAGGCUCAGACAGCUAGGAUGUUGGCUUAGAAGCAGCCAUCAUUUAAAGAAAGCGUAAUAGCUCACUAGUCGAGUCGGCCUGCGCGGAAGAUGUAACGGGGCUAAGCA